GAUGAACGCUGGCGGCGUGCCUAAUACAUGCAAGUCGAGGGAACAGACGAGGAGCUUGCUCCUCUGACGUUAGCGGCGGACGGGUGAGUAACACGUGGAUAACCUACCUAUAAGACUGGGAUAACUUCGGGAAACCGGAGCUAAUACCGGAUAAUAUAUUGAACCGCAUGGUUCAAUAGUGAAAGACGGUUUUGCUGUCACUUAUAGAUGGAUCCGCGCCGCAUUAGCUAGUUGGUAAGGUAACGGCUUACCAAGGCGACGAUGCGUAGCCGACCUGAGAGGGUGAUCGGCCACACUGGAACUGAGACACGGUCCAGACUCCUACGGGAGGCAGCAGUAGGGAAUCUUCCGCAAUGGGCGAAAGCCUGACGGAGCAACGCCGCGUGAGUGAUGAAGGUCUUCGGAUCGUAAAACUCUGUUAUUAGGGAAGAACAAAUGUGUAAGUAACUAUGCACGUCUUGACGGUACCUAAUCAGAAAGCCACGGCUAACUACGUG
rnacentral:rRNA from 1 species